rnacentral:ribozyme from 1 species
GGUGGAUUACGCCACAAUAAAUAGACAUUAAGCGUAAAGCGUCCGAGUUGUUUAAACGACUCGGGGUUGUA